CAAGACCGCGUGCGGGAGGAAGGUCUAUUGAUUGUAAACCGCUUUUGAUAGGGAAGAAGAUCUGACGGUACCUAUCGAAUCAGCAUCGGCUAACUCCGUGCCAGCAGCCGCAGUAAUACGGGGGAUGCAAGCGUUAUCCGGAAUUAUUGGGCGUAAAGCGUCCGUAGGUGGUUUUAAAAGUCUGUUGUCAAAUCGCGAGGCUUAACCUCGUACAGGCAGUGGAAACUAUAAGACUAGAGUGCGGUAGGGGUAGAGGGAAUUUCCAGUGUAGCGGUGAAAUGCGUAGAUAUUGGAAAGAACACCGGUGGCGAAGGCGCUCUACUGGGCCUGCACUGACACUGAGGGACGAAAGCUAGGGGAGCGAAAGGGAUUAGAUACCCCUGUAGUCCUAGCCGUAAAC
rnacentral:rRNA from 1 species